rnacentral:rRNA from 1 species
CAGAAACUUAAAGGAAUUGACGGGGCCCGCACAAGCGGUGGAGUAUGUGGUUUAAUUCGAUGCAACGCGAAGAACCUUACCUGGUCUUGACAUCCCGGAGACCCUUAGGAAACUAGGGGGUGCUUCCAUCUGGAAGAAUCUGGAGACAGGUGCUGCAUGGCUGUCGUCAGCUCGUGUCGUGAGAUGUUGGGUUAAGUCCCGCAACGAGCGCAACCCUUGCCUUUAGUUGCCAGCAGUUCGGCUGGGCACUCUAAAGGGACUGCCGGUGUUAAACCGGAGGAAGGUGGGGAUGACGUCAAGUCCUCAUGGCCUUUAUGACCAGGGCUACACACGUACUACAAUGGCCGAUACAAAGGGCAGCGACACUGCGAGGUGAAGCCAAUCCCGUAAAAUCGGUCUCAGUCCGGAUUGGAGUCUGCAACUCGACUCCAUGAAGUUGGAAUCGCUAGUAAUCGUGGAUCAGCAUGCCACGGUGAAUACGUUCCCGGGCCUU